UACGUAGGGUGCGAGCGUUGUCCGGAAUUAUUGGGCGUAAAGAGCUCGUAGGCGGUUUGUCGCGUCGGCCGUGAAAACUUGGGGCUUAACCCCAAGCCUGCGGUCGAUACGGGCAGACUAGAGUACUGCAGGGGAGACUGGAAUUCCUGGUGUAGCGGUGGAAUGCGCAGAUAUCAGGAGGAACACCGGUGGCGAAGGCGGGUCUCUGGGCAGUAACUGACGCUGAGAAGCGAAAGCGUGGGGAGCGAACAGGAUAGAAAC
rnacentral:rRNA from 1 species